UACGUAGGGUGCGAGCGUUGAUCGGAAUUACUGGGCGUAAAGCGUGCGCAGGCGGUUCGUCGUGUCUGAUGUGAAAGCCCCGGGCUCAACCUGGGAAUGGCAUUGGAAACGGGCGGACUAGAGUGUGGCAGAGGGGGGUGGAAUUCCGCGUGUAGCAGUGAAAUGCGUAGAGAUGCGGAGGAACACCGAUGGCGAAGGCAGCCGCCUGGGCUAACGCUGACGCUGAGGCACGAAAGCGUGGGGAGCAAACAGG
rnacentral:rRNA from 1 species